rnacentral:rRNA from 1 species
GCUUCGGUGGUGAGUGGCGAACGGGUGAGUAAUACAUAAGUAACCUGGCCUUUCGAGGGGGAUAACUAUUGGAAACGAUAGCUAAGACCGCAUAGGCAUAAUUCUCGCAUGAGAGUUAUGUUAAAUAUCCUAUGGGAUAGCGAGAGGAUGGACUUAUGGCGCAUUAGCUAGUUGGUGAGGGUAACGGCCCACCAAGGCGACGAUGCGUAGCCGACCUGAGAGGGUGGACGGCCACACUGGGACUGAGACACGGCCCAGACUCCUACGGGAGGCAGCAGUAGGGAAUUUUCGGCAAUGGGCGAAAGCCUGACCGAGCAACGCCGCGUGAGGGAGGAAGUAUUUCGGUAUGUAAACCUCUGUUAUAAAGGAAGAACGGCGCAUGUAGGGAAUGACAUGCGAGUGACGGUACUUUAUGAGAAAGCCACGGCUAACUACGUGCCAGCAGCCGCGGUAAUACGUAGGUGGCGAGCGUUAUCCGGAAUCAUUGGGCGUAAAGAGGGAGCAGGCGGCAACUAGGGUCUGCGGUAAAAGACCGAAGCUAAACUUCGGUAAGCCGUGGAAACCGAGGAGCUAGAGUGCAGUAGAGGAUCGUGGAAUUCCAUGUGUAGCGGUGAAAUGCGUAGAUAUAUGGAGGAACACCAGUGGCGAAGGCGACGAUCUGGGCUGCAACUGACGCUCAGUCCCGAAAGCGUGGGGAGCAAAUGGGAUUAGAUACCCUAGUAGUCCACGCCGUAAACGAUGAGUACUAAGUGUUGGGGGUCAGACCUCAGUGCUGCAGUUAACGCAAUAAGUACUCCGCCUGAGUAGUACGUUCGCAAGAAUGAAACUCAAAGGAAUUGACGGGGGCCCGCACAAGCGGU